UACGGAGGUGGCAAGCGUUGUUCGGAUUCAUUGGGUGUAAAGGGCAUGUAGGCGGCCUUUUAAGUCGAUUGUGAAAUCCCUCGGCUUAACUGAGGAACUGCAAUUGAUACUGAGAGGCUUGAGUGCAGAAGAGGAAAGCGGAAUUCCCGGUGUAAGGGUGAAAUCUGUAGAGAUCGGGAGGAACACCAGUGGCGUAGGCGGCUUUCUGGUCUGCAACUGACGCUGAAAUGCGAAAGCUAGGGGAGCAAACAGGAUUAGAUACCCGCGUA
rnacentral:rRNA from 1 species